UUCUUCCUUGAACAAACCCAAAUUGUUCUUUAAAAUUAAUAUCAUGUAAUAAUCCCUUAAUUCUUUCAUGAAUAAUUCUAGAGAAGAUUUUAUUCAAAAAAUUACUAAGAGAAAUAGGUCUUAUGUCUAAAAAAGUAUUCACUACUAACUUUUUUGGUAGCAAUACUAAAUUGGUAUGUGUGAUGAAUCUUGGAAGCUCAUACCCACAGAAAAAAGAAAUUAUCAUUUGAUGAAGAUCCUUAG
rnacentral:lncRNA from 1 species